rnacentral:tRNA from 1 species
UCCCUGUAGGACUAGUGGUUAGGCCUCGGUGCUCUCACUGCUGUGGCACAGGUUCAAUUCCUAGCCAGGGAA